AUUGAACGCUGGCGGCAGGCUUAACACAUGCAAGUCGAACGAGUGGCGGACGGGUGAGUAAUGCUUGGGAAUCUAGCUGAUGGAGGGGGAUAACUACGGGACACUGUAGCUAAUACCGAGACCCAUAGGAUGAGCCCAAGUGGGAUUAGGUAGUUGGUGAGGGAAAGGCGCACCAAGCCGACGAUCUCUCGCUGGUCUGAUAGGAUGACCAGCCACACUGGGAAUGAGACACGGCCCAGACUCCUACGGGAGGCAGCAGUGGGGAAUUGUGCGCAAUGGGGGCAACCUGACGCAGCCAUGCCGCGUGAAUGAAGAAGGCCUUCGGGUUGUAAAGUUCUUUCGGUAGCGAGGCGUUAACUACAGAAUAAGCGCCGGCUAACUACGUGUCAGCAGCCGCGGUAAUAC
rnacentral:rRNA from 1 species